rnacentral:rRNA from 1 species
GACGAACGCUGGCGGCGUGCCUAAUACAUGCAAGUAGAACGCUGAAGGAGGAGCUUGCUUCUCUGGAUGAGUUGCGAACGGGUGAGUAACGCGUAGGUAACCUGCCUGGUAGCGGAGGAUAACUAUUGGAAACGAUAGCUAAUACCGCAUAAGAGUGGAUGUUGCAUGACAUUUGCUUAAAAGGUGCACUUGCAUCACUACCAGAUGGACCUGCGUUGUAUUAGCUAGUUGGUGGGGUAAGGGCUCACCAAGGCGACGAUACAUAGCCGACCUGAGAGGGUGAUCGGCCACACUGGGACUGAGACACGGCCCAGACUCCUACGGGAGGCAGCAGUAGGGAAUCUUCGGCAAUGGACGGAAGUCUGACCGAGCAACGCCGCGUGAGUGAAGAAGGUUUUCGGAUCGUAAAGCUCUGUUGUAAGAGAAGAACGAGUGUGAGAGUGGAAAGUUCACACUGUGACGGUAUCUUACCAGAAAGGGACGGCUAACUACGUGCCAGCAGCCGCGGUAAUACGUAGGUCCCGAGCGUUGUCCGGAUUUAUUGGGCGUAAAGCGAGCGCAGGCGGUUAGAUAAGUCUGAAGUUAAAGGCUGUGGCUUAACCAUAGUAGGCUUUGGAAACUGUUUAACUUGAGUGCAAGAGGGGAGAGUGGAAUUCCAUGUGUAGCGGUGAAAUGCGUAGAUAUAUGGAGGAACACCGGUGGCGAAAGCGGCUCUCUGGCUUGUAACUGACGCUGAGGCUCGAAAGCGUGGGGAGCAAACAGG